GAGAUUGAUACUGUAGAGUGUAGGAAUUGUAAGCAUUUUAUACCCUCCAGGAGUAUAGCACUGCAUGAGGCAUAUUGUAUUAGACAUAAUAUUGUUUGUCAGCAUGCUGGUUGUGGAAUUGUUCUGAGGAUUGAGGAGGCCCAAAACCAUGUGCAUUGUGAGAAUUGUGGCCAAGCUUCUCAAAGGGGAGAAAUGGAAAAGCAUAUGAAAGUUUUCCAUGAACCACUUCAGUGUCCCUGUGGAGUAGCCCUUGAGAAGGAAUUGAUGGUACAACACCAAGCUUCAGCUUGUCCCCUACGCCUUAUAACAUGCCGAUUUUGCGGCGAUAUGGUUCA
rnacentral:misc_RNA from 1 species